ensembl:misc_RNA Metazoa_SRP Metazoan signal recognition particle RNA
GCCGGGCGUGGUGGUGCGUGCCUGUAGUCCUGGCUACUCGGGAGGCUGAGGUGGGAGGAUCACUUGAGCCCAGGAGUUCUGGUUUAUAGUGUGCUAUGCUGAUCAGGUGUUUGGCAUCAAUAUGGUGACCUCCCAGGAGUGGGGGACCGCCAGAUUGCCUAAGGAGGGGUGAACCAGCCCAGGUUGGAAAUGGAGCAGGUCAAAACUCCCGUGCUGAUCAGUAGUGGGAUCGUGCUAGUGAAUAGCCACUGCACUCCAGCCUGGGCAACAUGGCGAGACCCCAUCUCUU